AUAUAUUAUAUUUUGGUAUGUAAAAUAUCUUUAGUAUUUUUUUUAUAUGUAAAUUAUUUUUAAUAUAGAAAUAACAGUAAAUAAAGUUAAAUAAAAAAGAAAUUUUGUUUUAUAAAUUUACUUUAAAAUUAACAUAUUUUGUGCCAGCAGUUGCGGUUACACAAUUAAUGUAAAGAUAUUUUAUAUGGUAUAUUAAAUAUUUUAUUUAUAUGAAUUUAAGUAUUUAAUUUUAAGGUAAAAUUUUAAUUAAACUAAUAAUUCUUUAUUAAUAUUUUGAGAAAUUAAUUUUAAAACCAGGAUUAGAUACCCUGCUAUUUUUAUGUAAAUUUUCUGGAGUAGUAAUAGUUAAGAUCUUGAAACUUAAAAAAUUUGGCGGUAUUUUAUCUUAUUAGAGGAACCUGUUUUUUAAUUGAUAAUCCACAACUAUUAUUUACUUUAAUUAUAAUAUUUGUAUACCGCUGUCAUGAAUAUACUAUGAAGUUAAUUUUCAUUUAUUUUUAUUAAAUUUAUGUUAAGUCAAGGUGCAAUUUAUUAAAGUUUAAAAUGGGUUACAAUAAAAUUUAUGAAUGGAUAAAUAAUUUUUUGUUUGAAUAAAAUAGGAUUUAAAAGUAAAUUUAUUAUAGAAAUAAUAUGAAUUUAGACUCUAAAAUAUGUACAUAUUGCCCGUCACUCUUAUAUAAGAUAAGAUAAGUCGUAACAUAGUAGAUGUACCGGAAGGUGUAUCUGGA
rnacentral:ncRNA from 1 species